CACCAAAGGAAAAAAGAAAAAUCUUUUAGGUACCAGGUGUUGCUCUCUCCUUGGACAUUAAAACUAGACUAUGUAGAAAAGGUUAGAUGGUGAGCUGAGUCAGAUACACAAAUCUAUUUUCAUGGAGAAAAUAAAUAAAAUGCCACUCAUCCUGCCUGUCUGUAACUUGAGUGGCUUUAAGAAUUAGAAUAUAUAAAAGGAUUCCAGCUGUAAAAGUGCAAGGUAUUUAUC
rnacentral:lncRNA from 1 species